ensembl:snRNA U4 U4 spliceosomal RNA
AUCUUUGCGCAGCGGCAGUAUCGUAGCCUAUGAGGUUUAUCUGAGGCGUGAUUAUUGCUAGUUGAAAACUUUACCCAAUACCCUGCUGUUGCAACUUGAGAUAUAGUUGGCACUGGCAAUUUUUGGUGGUCUUCCAGGAGG